rnacentral:sRNA from 2 species
UGCGUUCCUCGUUAGGCGAGGCUACUAUACGAACACAAGCCACUGCCCGGAAACGUGGAGACACGCCAAUGGGUAGAACAGGUAUGGCCGGCUUAAGGCUUUACCUAACGUGGCUGGGUUUUCCCUACGUCGUAUAGUGCCAAAGCUCAACCAGGGGGAUGUGC